UAAAAACGCGGAUUAUAAAAAGUACAAAAGUGCAUCUUGGACUUCGUAGUCAGAUUACUUCGUCAACUGCAACAACGCCAAUGGAAAAGGACUCCAUUUCCCAGAAUGCACCACGCGUCUAUUCUUCCUGAGGAUCAACCCCCGCCGAUCGUUGCGAAAUUCAAAUCUGGACUAGGUGUUUGUUUGCUGGCUGAACAGUACGAGGUCAUGUACCAUGUGACGCUGAAGAGGUUUCUGGGUAAAGAUGAUAGAAAUAUAAUGAAGUAACAGUGAAAGCUAAAACAUCAGACUGGUCCAAAACACUGAAGAAAUUGGUGUGACUGCAAUCUGGCCAAAAUGAUAGAAAUAUAAUGAGGUAACAGUGAAAGCUAAAACAUCAGACUGAUCCAGACACUGAAGAAAUUGGUGUGACUGCAAUCUGGCCAAAAUUAUACAACUAUAAUGAAGUAAUCUACUGUAAUGAAGCUGCAGAACGACACAGAGACUCUGAGGACAUCAACACUGAAUAUCAAGACUCCCAAAGAGAUGUCUGUCCAGAUGAGGGUGCAUCAACAUUACCUUUGCUGACAAGUAUAUGCUUUAGAAAUGUUUGAAUAAUUACAGGACAACGGGAUUAGUUUUACAGGGGGACCUCUGAGAAAAUCGUGCUUCUCAGAGGUCCUCUGUGUUUUUAAUCCCGUCCGAAACGGCCAUGUCUGUGUUUUGAUGACCUCCGUAAAAAUUCCAGAGCAAUUUACCUACUGUUUUCCGCCAAACUCAGAGGUCAUCGGAGAAAUUUAAUCCCGUUCGGAUUCAAAUGUCUGUGUUUGCCCGCAAUAUCUUUUGAAAACGCUGUUCUUUUUGUCUUUUGGCCAAAGUGAUCUGCCGUAAGAUCUACCGCGUAUAUAUAUUGUACUUCCUGAGUCCCAUUCUUUCAGAUAUGGAUGUUUUUUCCCCAUUCGGCGAAAUAAAAUAAUUAAAUCAGGAUGAGCUGAAUAUCAAACACUGUUAAGACUAAACACUGUAAUAUCAGUAACUUAUAAGGUAAACUCAAACUUAUUUUGUUCAACUCCAAAAUGGUAAUGUUAAAUAAUAAAGAUAAUAAAUUGUUAUUAAUCAUUAUUUCUUCAAUUCGUUGGGUUUAUUAUAAGCAGCCAGUUAUAUAAAACACGUAGGCUACUUUAGUAUGAUUUGUAAAAGUUCUUUUGAUUUGUUAAAAUUUUUAAAGCAAAAUAUAAAACCUUACAAACACGCAUAUCCAGAGCACGUGCUCUUCUGCAAUGCCCAAACGCAUGAAACAGACACUCCCAUCUCUAGAAUUUUAAUCCCAUCCGAAUCGGUACAUUAAAUCACAGACGUCGCAGGGGACAUGUUGAAAACUAAUCCCAUCCGAAAAGUGCUUAGGACUGAUUUCCUAAAGCAAGAUCAAUGUAGUUGUUGUUCAUGUUAUUUAGACCAUUUACUACAUAACAUUGUUCUGCUUUGAAUGUAUUUUUCAUUGUUGCUUUUAUUUUGUUUAUUUUAUUUGCUCAUAUUUCCUUAAUUCCCUAAUGCAUGUUGGUCUUAUAUUGUUUCCUCUGUAUAUUUAUCAAUUUAAAAAGCAUUGUUUAUGUAUGCAACCUUUAAUAUUUGUGUAUAAUAUUGUUUUGUGAUUUUGACAAUUGUGGAUUGUUCAGGGUUUUUUAUUAAAUAAACAUUUCAAACUCAA